rnacentral:rRNA from 1 species
UCAUAUNANGCAAGUUCGGAGCGCAGGGAAACUGACGGAACUCUUCGGAGGGAAGGCANCCCCNUANUGAGUCGGCGGACGGGUGAGAUAACACGUUAAGGAACCUGCCUCAAGGAUUGGGAUAACUCCGAGAAAUCGGAGCUAAUACCGGAUAGUUCAACGGACCGCAUGGUCCGCUGAUGAAAGGCGCUUCGGCGUCACCUUGAGAUGGCCUUGCGGUGCAUUANCUAGUUGGUGGGGUAAUGGCCCACCAAGGCGACGAUGCAUAGCCGACCUGAGAGGGUGAUCGGCCACACUGGGACUGAGACACGGCCCAGACUCCUACGGGAGGCAGCAGUAGGGAAUCUUCCACAAUGGACGAAAGUCUGAUGGAGCAACGCCGCGUGAGUGAUGAAGGUUUUCGGAUCGUANAACUCUGUUGUAAGGGAAGAACACGUACGAGAGGUAAUGCUCGUACCUUGACGGUACCUUACGAGAAAGCCACGGCUAACUACGUGCCAGCAGCCGCGGUAAUACGUAGGUGGCAAGCGUUGUCCGGAAUUAUUGGGCGUAAAGCGCGCGCAGGCGGCCUUUUAAGUCUGAUGUGAAAGCCCCCGGCUCAACCGGGGAGGGCCAUUGGAAACUGGAAGGCUUGAGUACAGAANAGAAGAGUGGANUUCCACGUGUANCGGUGAAAUGCGUANAGAUGUGGAGGAACACCAGUGGCGAAG